rnacentral:tRNA from 1 species
UAGCUCAGCUGGUUAGAGCGUCGUGCUAAUAACGCGAAGGUCUUGGGUUCGAUCCCCAC